ensembl:snRNA U6 U6 spliceosomal RNA
GUGCUUGCUUCAGCAGCACAUAUACUAAAACUGAAAUGAUACAGAGAUGAUUAGUAUGACCCCUGCACAAGGAUUACAUGAAAAUUUGUGAAGUGUUCUGUAUUUCU